rnacentral:rRNA from 1 species
UACGGAGGGUGCAAGCGUUAUCCGGAUUCUCUGGGUUUAAAGGGUGCGUAGGUGGGCAGGUAAGUCAGUGGUGAAAUCUCCGGGCUUAACCCGGAAACUGCCAUUGAUACUAUCUGUCUUGAAUACCGUGGAGGUGAGCGGAAUAUGUCAUGUAGCGGUGAAAUGCUUAGAUAUGACAUAGAACACCAAUUGCGAAGGCAGCUCACUACACGAAUAUUGACACUGAGGCACGAAAGCGUGGGGAUCAAACAGG